GACGAACGCUGGCGGCAUGCCUAACACAUGCAAGUCGAACGAGACGUCCGUGCUUAGUGGCGCACGGCGGCUUACCGCCUGGUAAGUUGCCCUUGGGUUCGCUACAACUGCCCGAAAGGUAAGUUAAUACCAGUUAAUCUCAUACGACCUAAGAUUUAUUGCCUUGGGAUGGGCCCGGGUUGGUUUAGCUAGUUGGUAGGGUAAAAGCAUGUCAAGGCGAGGAUCCUGAGCUGGUCGGAGAGGAGGAACGUGCACGAUGGGACUGAGACACGGACCAGACUCCUACGGGAGGCAGCAGAGGGGUAUAUUGGACAAGGGGCGAUAGCCUGAUACAGCAAUGCCGCGGAAGUGAUGAAGGCCUUAGGGUUGUAAAGCUCUUUUACACGAGAUGAUAGUGACAGUACCGGGAGAAUAAGCACCGGCUAACUCCGUG
rnacentral:rRNA from 1 species